AGGCAAGAUGCUGGCAUAGCUGUUGACCUGAGAACCUGCUAUGCCAACAUAUUGCCAUC
rnacentral:pre_miRNA from 1 species